ACGACCAAAGGUAGUGGAAAAUACGGGAUCCCGUCUGCUCUCCCAUAGUCAAGCCACUAACCGGCGGAUUAGUAGUUGGGUCGGUGACGACCA
rnacentral:rRNA from 1 species